GACGAACGCUGGCGGCGUGCUUAACACAUGCAAGUCGAACGGAAAGGCCCUGCUUUUGUGGGGUGCUCGAGUGGCGAACGGGUGAGUAACACGUGAGUAACCUGCCCUUGACUUUGGGAUAACUUCAGGAAACUGGGGCUAAUACCGGAUAGGAGCUCCUGCUGCAUGGUGGGGGUUAGAAAGUUUCGGCGGUUGGGGAUGGACUCGCGGCUUAUCAGCUUGUUGGUGGGGUAGUGGCUUACCGAGGCUUUGACGGGUAGCCGGCCUGAGAGGGUGACCGGCCACAUUGGAACGGGGAUACGGCCCAGACUCCUACGGGAGGCAGCAGUGGGGAAUAUUGCACAAUGGGCGGAAGCCUGAUGCAGCAACGCCGCGUGCGGGAUGACGGCCUUCGGGUUGUAAACCGCUUUCGCCUGUGACGAAGCGUGAGUGACGGUAAUGGGUAAAGAAGCACCGGCUAACUACGUG
rnacentral:rRNA from 1 species